CUUAACACAUGCAAGUCGUACGAGACGAUUGAAAGCUUGCUUUUGAAAGUCGAGUGGCAAACGGGUGAGUAACGCGUAGACAACCUGCCGUAAAGAUGGGGACAACAGUCCGAAAGGACUGCUAAUACCGAAUGUUGUGGAACUUCUGCAUGGGAGCUCCACUAAAGAUGGCCUCUACUUGUAAGCUAUCGCUUUACGAUGGGUCUGCGUCUGAUUAGCUAGUUGGUGGGGCAACGGCCUACCAAGGCGACGAUCAGUAGCCGGUCUGAGAGGAUGAACGGCCACAUUGGAACUGAGACACGGUCCAGACUCCUACGGGAGGCAGCAGUGGGGAAUCUUCCGCAAUGGGCGCAAGCCUGACGGAGCAACGCCGCGUGAGUGAAGAAGGGUUUCGACUCGUAAAGCUCUGUUGUCGGGGACGAACGUGGAGAUGGUGAAUAACCAUUUCCAAUGACGGUACCUGACGAGGAAGCCACAGCUAACUACGUGCCAGCAGCCGCGGUAAUACGUAGGUGGCGAGCGUUGUCCGGAAUUAUUGGGCGUAAAGGGAGCGCAGGCGGGAGAUCAAGUCUAUCUUAAAAGUGCGGGGCUCAACCCCGUGAGGGGAUGGAAACUGGUCUUCUUGAGUGCAGGAGAGGAAAGCGGAAUUCCUAGUGUAGCGGUGAAAUGCGUAGAUAUUAGGAGGAACACCAGUGGCGAAGGCGGCUUUCUGGACUGUAACUGACGCUGAGGCUCGAAAGCGUGGGGAGCGAACAGGAUUAGAUACCCUGGUAGUCCAUGCCGUAAACGAUGAUUACUAGGUGUUGGAGGAUUGACCCCUUCAGUGCCGCAGUUAACACAAUAAGUAAUCCACCUGGGGAGUACGACCGCAAGGUUGAAACUCAAAGGAAUUGACGG
rnacentral:rRNA from 1 species